rnacentral:rRNA from 1 species
UUUUUUUCCCCGGGGAGAACUAGCAUUCAAUAAGCGGAGGAAAAGAAACUAACAAGGAUUCCCCUAGUAACUGCGAGUGAAGCGGGAAAAGCUCAAAUUUAAAAUCUGGUGGUCUUUGGCCAUCCGAGUUGUAAUUUAGAGAAGCGUCUUCCGCGCUGGACCGUGCACAAGUCUCCUGGAAUGGAGCAUCAUGGAGGGUGAGAAUCCCGUCUUUGGCACGGACACACCAGGGCUUUUGUGAUGCGCUCUCGAAGAGUCGAGUUGUUUGGGAAUGCAGCUCAAAAUGGGUGGUGAACUCCAUCUAAAGCUAAAUAUUGGCGAGAGACCGAUAGCGAACAAGUACCGUGAGGGAAAGAUGAAAAGCACUUUGGAAAGAGAGUGAAACAGUACGUGAAAUUGUUGAAAGGGAAACGCUUGAAGUCAGUCGCAUUGACCGAGACUCAGCCUUGCUCUUGGCUUGGUGUACUUCUCGGCCGAUGGGUCAGCAUCAAUCUUGCCUCUUGGAUAAUGGUGAGGGAAAUGUGACACCUUUACGGUGUGUUAUAGUCUCUUGUCGCAUGCAAGGGUCGGGAUUGAGGAACUCAGCACGCACCUUUUGGGUGUCGGGGUUUUUGCCCACGAUACGUGCUUAGGAUGUUGGCAUAAUGGCUUUAAACGACCCGUCUUGAAACACGGACCAAGGAGUCUAACAUGCCCGCAAGUGUUCGGGUGGAAAACCCGUGCGCGCAAUGAAAGUGAAAGUUGGGACCUCCGUCGUGGAGGGCACCGACGCCCGGACCAGACCUUCUGUGACGGCUCUGCGGUAGAGCGUGUAUGUUAGGACCCGAAAGAUGGUGAACUAUGCCUGAAUAGGGUGAAGCCAGAGGAAACUCUGGUGGAGGCUCGUAGCGAUUCUGACGUGCAAAUCGAUCGUCAAAUUUGGGUAUAGGGGCGAAAGACUAAUCGAACCAUCUAGUAGCUGGUUCCUGCCGAUGUUCCCCCCCCGAAAAA